UAAAACAUUUCAUAACUUAGUUUUUAAACAACAAUCCAUUCUUCAAUAUAUUAUUCCUGUAAUUAUCUGAGUGUAAUAUUCAUCGUGUUUGUUUUCAGGAUGGAUACUGUCACGCCAAAGGUCUGACCCCGACUGCCAAGAUCUCAGGAUUCGUAGACGUGACUCCAGAGAACGAGAAUGCUUUGAAAUUGGCUCUGGUUGAGAAGGGACCCAUCUCCAUCAGUAUUGAUGCUUCUCUCAGGUCUUUCUCCUACUAUUCCCAUGGAGUGUUCUACGAUCCGCAGUGUGGAAACACAACUGACAAGCUGGAUCAUGCUGUUGUGCUGGUUGGCUACGGAAAACUGGCAGGUGAACCCUAUUGGCUGGUGAAGAACUCGUGGUCCAACUAUUGGGGCGAAGAAGGCUACAUUCUCAUCUCACCCAAGGACAACAACUGCGGAGUUGCGUGUGCCCCCACCUAUGUCGUUUUAGAUUAGAUUUUAUUCACAUUUCAUCCAUGAAAACUCAAGAUAACAUAAUUCAUUCAUUCAAUUUGAUGAUGCUUUUGAAUUCUAAAUUCAAUGCGAUAAUGUUUUAGAAUCUUUCAAGUCUGAUAUUAUUAUUUUAAUAAGUCUCGAACAAUACGUGAGAAUCAAGUUAGUUUAGAACGUAGCAAUAACAUUGAAACAAUUUUUGCUCAAAAGAAGAUUCAUUUUUGAUGCGUGAUUAUUUAAUAUUCUUGAAUCAAACGUUUUUAGUUGUUAGGUGUUUUAAUUGUGUCAUACUCGAACAUUGUAAGUUUGAAUAAAGUGAUAUUUUUACAAUG